rnacentral:lncRNA from 1 species
ACGGUAGGUUGUGCGAGUGUUCUCACACUCUCCUCAAGUCUCGUGGUCGCUGGCCGAACCGCCGGAGCAGCCGAGGAGGUGAAGAUGGCGCUGAGACGUGCGAUGGUUCGAGAGCGCUCGGCCGCUCGCUUCCAUGCCUGUGGAUGAGCCGGCCGAUAAGAUCCAACGGCCAGAAAUGCAGGCGACAUGGCACGACGAUGAAUGGCAAAAUGGCAGUGGAAGGGACAAUGAAUGGCAUAUGAGUGAUACAAC